AGAAUCAACGCUGGCGGCGUGCCUAACACAUGCAAGUCGAACGAGAAAGGGACUUCGGUCCUGAGUAUAGUGGCGCACGGGUGAGUAACACGUGAAUCAUCUACCUUCGAGUGGGGAAUAACCAAAAAGAAAUUUUGGCUAAUACCGCAUAAUACCUACGGGUCAAAGCAGCAAUGCGCUUGAAGAGGAGUUCGCGGCAGAUUAGUUAGUUGGCGGGGUAAUGGCCCACCAAGACGAUGAUCUGUA
rnacentral:rRNA from 1 species